rnacentral:lncRNA from 1 species
CUACAAGAGGCAAAAGCAAUUUGAGUCUGGAAUUUGAAGUUGUAUAAUCAAGUGAUGAUGCCAGAGUAACAAUAGCAGCCAACCCGGAGUCUCUUCCUUCACAACCUAGUCAAAUGAUAAAUAUGCCAUGAAUAUUAAAUAUUAACAAAAGGAGAUCUUGUUCUUUGUUGCACCAAAUAAAAACAAGGGAAAGAAAAAGAUAAAAUUAUGGAUAAAAUAGACACCCUAGAUAAAUGGGAAACAUUUGUUUUUUCUCACAUGUAAUCAGAUCUCAUAAUAAGGGAAGCCAUGUUUGCUCAUCAAUUUAUUAUUACAACUUGGAAAUCUCAAGUUGAAAUCCUCUUAGGUUUGAAAUAAUUGGAUUUAUGUGGUAGAAAAGUGCAACCCCAGUUGAGUAAUGUGUUUGUCCAAAAAGCAUCAGUAUGUUAGGGUCCUUAGAAAUACAUCGAGUCAUGGGUGUGUUGCUGGAAUUUUCUGAGGAUGGAAUUUUCUUUUUGCGACCUAUAGUUGCAAUAGAACAGUCUUCUUAGAGAGAACCUGAAAAAUUCUUGAGUUGAAGUACCCGAAAAUUUUGAAAAAUUUUUUUUAUACUUUUUCUAUUGAGUUGUUGCACUUAAAUACAAGAGAGGGACAUAACCAUCUCCUAAAAAUUGGAAACCAUUAAGCAACAUGGAGGAUCACCCUCCUCCCACUAAGAAAAAAUAAAACUAACUUGUCAUCAUAGGUUAACCACUAAGAACAUGACUUAACCACUAACUACACUAACUACAUGACUAUUGAAAAUAGGACAAUCAAUUAAUAACUUGAGAAAAUAACAACUGAAACUUGCCAGAGAUACGUGGCAGCAUCAGCGGUCACUUGUAGUUGGAUCUGGUUGAGGCUGGAUCUGCUAGCAUUACUCUCCUCCUCCACCAUGCGCUUGUCCUUAAGCGCAAACUCAGGGAAUUUCUAGGAAUAGUUAGCCAGUAGUUGGUUCGUUGUGACAUCUCCCAGGUCACUCAUCUGCUAAAUCUAGCCAAAAUAGCUUCUUGCACUGAUGUCCUCGAACAAAGGGUUCAUCACAAUUAAAAUAAAGCCCUUUCCGUCGUCGUUCCUCUAUCUCAUCGCAAUUCAAGUGCUUAAUUAUUCAGGUACCUUUUGCUUCUAUUGUUUAUUAAGAUGAAUGGUUGAAGAACUUACGGUACAUAUGGAUCCAUUUUUCCAUCCAUAGAGUCUUAACAUACUCAUAGCUGUGACUAGGUCUAGUGGUUGGUGCAAUUCCAUGCCCACAGGGAUGUAUUCUUGCAAUCCACUGAGAUAAAGCUGUAUUUUCUAAUCUUGGAUAAGGCUUCCAACUCGAAAGACAAGACGUUUUGAGUCUAUAGCUGAAAUUUUCAUGCCCACAUUUUGCACCAACCGCAGGUCUAGUGGUUGGUGCAAAAUGUUAGGGUCCUUAGGAAUGAAUCAAAUUAUAAGUCUAUAGCUGAAAUUUUCUAGGGACGAUUUUUUUUUUUUUUGCAAUCUAUUGUUGCAAUGGAACAAGCUCUUUAGGGAGAACCUGAAAAUCUCUUAAUUUGGAGUACUAAAAAACUUUAGAAAAUUUUCUUAUACCUUAUUUAUUGAAAUAACCAUUUUCUAAAAACAUGAAACUAUUAAGCAAUACAGGGGAUCACCCUCCUAAGAAAAAGUCAAACUAAUUUACACUAUCCACAUUAUGGGUUAACCACUAAGAACAUGAUUUAACCACUGAAUACAUAACUCCUAAAAAUAGGACAAUAAUUAAUAACUUAAAAAUGACAACUAAAACCUGGCAGCAACACGUGGCAGCAUCAACUGUCACUUAUAUAGUUGGAUCUGGUUCUGGCUGAGGCUGGGUCUGCUAACACAUUACCUGUUUUACUUUAUUUUUAGAAGUUCCAACCAAACAAACUAGGGAAAAUUCAAUGAGCCGGGUAUAGAGGGAUUUUGAUUGGAAUAUGAUGGUAGGAUUUCCAAUAAUUGUUGCUUGCCUAUGCAAGAUGUGUCAGACUCAGAUAAGACUUUUUCUUUUCUUUUAAAGUAUGGCAUAUUAUGGUUUUUUCUUAUUAGCAGAAAUACAGCAUGACUGAAGAGGGCUUGCAGCCUUCCACAUCAAGAUAAAGUCCAACACAAGAAAUGGCAAUCGUUGAUACCAACACAAACACAAUAAAAGCUGGGGCCUGGGGCACUAAAAAUUGACAUAGACAAUCAAGUUUAGAGUUUAGACUUUUAAUAUAAAGUAUACAUUGUACAGAAGAAUAAAGCAAUACAACUAAGCAUGUGCAUGGUCUGGUUCCAGGCCAGAAGCAGACCAGCGUUAUGGUCCUAAGGCCUGGAUACCUAAGACAGGACCAAAGGGUUUCCUUGAUUCCAUUUCGUUUCAAUCUAGUUUGAUCAAAUCCAAUAGAGUUUUUUGACCAUUGGAUAAAUCCAAACUGUUAUUGGUUAAAUAAGUAUUUUUUUGGUUCUGGUCCAAACCUGGACCAGGCCCACAUCUAAAUACAACUACAAGUUGUUAACCAGUUCAAUGCACGAUCAUCAAAGGGAAUAAAUUUAGGAAGAAUUAUGAUAUUUCACUUUUAAACUUCCCCUGUUAUACAUAGUUGGCAAGUUCAUAUGAAGUUGACAAGUUUAUUUGAACCACACUUUCUCUCCUUUUUCUUUUCCUUUUUUGGACAUACUUUGAACAAUAUUUCCAUCUAUUUUGGUUCACGAUUUGAUUGAAUCAUCAAAGUUAUGAGCCACCGACUGAAUUCCUUGACUACACGUUAACUUUAAAACCUAGUUAGCCUUAGUAUUGGGAAUACAAACAAAUAUAGCAAGCAAAAACUUUCAUCAAUAAGGGAUCAAUGAACGAUGAUAUUCAAACCAAAUGAAACCCGAAUCGAGCAUGCCAUGUGAUGUGCAUGCAAUAGGCACACAAUGAGUAAAAGGAGCAAUAAUAUGGCAGAAGUUUAUCU